rnacentral:rRNA from 1 species
UACGUAGGGUCCGAGCGUUGUCCGGAAUUACUGGGCGUAAAGAGCUCGUAGGUGGUUUGUCGCGUUGUUCGUGAAAACUCACAGCUUAACUGUGGGCGUGCGGGCGAUACGGGCAGACUAGAGUACUGCAGGGGAGACUGGAAUUCCUGGUGUAGCGGUGGAAUGCGCAGAUAUCAGGAGGGAACACCGGUGGCGAAGGCGGGUCUCUGGGCAGUAACUGACGCUGGAGGAGCGA